UACGUAGGGUGCAAGCGUUAAUCGGAAUUACUGGGCGUAAAGCGUGCGCAGGCGGCUUUGCAAGACAGAUGUGAAAUCCCCGGGCUUAACCGUAGGACUGCAUUUGUGACUGCAUGGCUAGAGUGCGGCAGAGGGGGAUGGAAUUCCGCGUGUAGCAGUGAAAUGCGUAGAUAUGCGGAGGAACACCGAUGGCGAAGGCAAUCCCCUGGGCCUGCACUGACGCUCAUGCACGAAAGCGUGGGGAGCAAACAGG
rnacentral:rRNA from 1 species